UACGAAGGUGGCAAGCGUUACUCGGAAUUACUAGGCGUAAAGGGCAGGUAGGUGGUUUGGUAAGUCUAUUGUGAAAGCUCCCGGCUUAACUGGGAGAGGUCAAUGGAUACUACCAGGCUUGAGUAUAGGAGAGGUUACUGGAAUUCCCGGUGUAGCGGUGAAAUGCGCAGAGAUCGGGAGGAACACCAAUGGCGAAAGCAGGUAACUGGACUAUUACUGACACUCAACUGCGAAAGCUAGGGGAGCAAACAGG
rnacentral:rRNA from 1 species